AAGCGGAGGAAAAGAAACUAACAAGGAUUCCCCUAGUAACGGCGAGUGAACCGGGAUGAGCUCAAAUUUGUAAUCUGGCGUGCUCCGCGCGUCCGAGUUGUAAUCUAUAGAAGCGUUUUCCGUGCCGGACCGUGUCCAAGUCCCUUGGAACAGGGUAUCAAAGAGGGUGACAAUCCCGUACUUGACACGACGACCGGUGCUCUGUGAUACGUUUUCUACGAGUCGAGUUGUUUGGGAAUGCAGCUCAAAACGGGUGGUAAAUUCCAUCUAAGGCUAAAUAUUGGCGAGAGACCGAUAGCGAACAAGUACCGUGAGGGAAAGAUGAAAAGCACUUUGGAAAGAGAGUUAAACAGUACGUGAAAUUGUUGAAAGGGAAACGAUUGAAGUCAGUCGUGUCCAAGGGAUUCAGCCGGUUCUUCCGGUCUACUUCUCUUGGACGGGUCAACAUCAGUUUUGGCCGGUGGAUAAAGGCUGGAGGAAUGUGGCACCCUCGGGUGUGUUAUAGCCUCCUGUCACAUACAUCGGCCGAGACUGAGGAAUGCAGCUCGCCUCACGGCCGGGGUUCGCCCACGUACGAGCUUAGGAUGUUGACAUAAUGGCUUUAAACGACCCGUCUUG
rnacentral:rRNA from 1 species